rnacentral:sRNA from 1 species
UCAAAAAGCGUCGAACGACGCAUACUUCCGCAGACCGCGUUUGGGAGGACGUGACCUUCGGCGCGCUAAAGCGCAGCCUCGGCCCAAGGGUCGAUGCAAGGUCCAGGUUUGUGAUCUAAAAUGCGAGGCUUGGCCUCGCAUUUUUUU